rnacentral:rRNA from 8 species
UCGACCUGAGUUCAGGCAAGA